rnacentral:lncRNA from 1 species
GUCUCUGCAGCAUUUUAAGCUGUGCAGGCCCCUGAGGCAGCAGAUAAUCUCUUCGGCAGCGAGAUGAGCUAUUCAUUGGGUCACUGUUAUCCAUUUUGGUAUUACUGGAAGUUCCUCCUCCACUCCAAAUAAUCAGAACUUGGAAAAAAACCCAAAAAACCAACUUCAUUCUUGGAGAAAGGGCAAUGAAAGAUACUGCUCAAACCCAAAGUAAAGAAGUUUCUCCUUGCCAAGACUCUGCAGAAGUGCUCCAGAGAUGCCGGACACCCAUGUGCCGAGCGGCCCCCGCCCGCGCCGGGCGUGAG